rnacentral:rRNA from 1 species
ACGGAAGGCAGCAGUGGGGAAUAUUGCACAAUGGGGGAAACCCUGAUGCAGCGACGCCGCGUGAGUGAAGAAGUAUUUCGGUAUGUAAAGCUCUAUCAGCAGGGAAGAAAAUGACGGUACCUGACUAAGAAGCCCCGGCUAACUACGUGCCAGCAGCCGCGGUAAUACAUAGGGGGCAAGCGUUAUCCGGAUUUACUGGGUGUAAAGGGAGCGUAGACGGUCUGGCAAGUCUGAUGUGAAAGGCAGGGGCUCAACUCCUGGACUGCAUUGGAAACUGUCAGUCUUGAGUGUCGGAGAGGUAAGCGGAAUUCCUAGUGUAGCGGUGAAAUGCGUAGAUAUUAGGAGGAACACCAGUGGCGAAGGCGGCUUACUGGACGAUAACUGACGUUGAGGCUCGAAAGCGUGGGGAGCAAACAGGAUUAGAUACCCUGGUA